AAAAAGGGUGCUUGCUUUACUUCAAUAGCACAUUGCGAGGGAAUCUCUUGCAAUGGAGUAUGGCAAUCAAGACAUACUCAGCAUAUAAUUUUUAUGAAAUUGGAGGAUGUUGAUUGCGAUUGACGCCUCCUUA